GCGCCGGGCAACGGCGGCAGCAACCGUCCCGACGGCCGCCCUCUCUGUGAGGGGAGCCCGGCGGCGGGCGGGUGUCAGCCGCUGGCGGCGCCCCGAGCUCCCCCUCUGGCCUCUUCUCCUCCCGUCAGGGAGCGGUGCCCGCACCGAGCCCCCGCUGCGAGGGGAGCCGCCAGGGCGGCUGCUGCAGCCCCUCCGGGGCGGGGAGCCGUGCUGCUGUGGCGGCGCAGCCGCUGUGGGUCUUGGUUGCCCCGUGUGAGAGCAGGUGGCGGUGGUAACAAAAGUGCCGCCUGGCAGAUUGUCUCUGCUAACCUGCUUUGUGCCGGGCUGAAAAUGGCUACCAUUCUUUGCCAGUGUCUACAGAGUUGUUCUGAAAGAUAUGAAGUUGCCCUCCAGAGAAAACAGAACCAUACACCACUGUGCCAACCCGUACAGGUUUUGGAUAAUCCUGUCAGCAAGGGAAGAACAGGAGUAGCUGUGACCCAGAAAUAAACACAUAGAUGCUCACAGAAACAGUGACCCGGUGGAUGAGUAAGAGUGAAUACUUAAAAGAUAUCAAUGACAGCAAACGUAAAGGCAGUUCUUUAUCCAGAUAUUCAUCUCUGAACAUCAGUGUUGUGGAGGCGCUUUUUGGUUCAUGCCUGCUUAAGGCAUACUGCAUCCACUGGUGCCCUUGAUAUUUCGAAAGCUGGUUCUCCAAAUAAAGUUUGCA